CCUACGGGAGGCAGCAGUGGGGAAUAUUACACAAUGGGGGAAACCCUGAUGCAGCGACGCCGCGUGAGUGAAGAAGUAAUUCUUUAUGUAAAGCUCUAUCAGCAGGGAAGAAAAUGACGGUACCUGAGUAAGAAGCCCCGGCUAACUACGUGCCAGAAGCCGCGGUAAUACGUAGGGUGCAAGCGUUAUCCGGAUUUACUGGGUGUAAAGGGAGCGUAGACGGCAGUGCAAGUCUGGAGUGAAAGGCGGGGGCUCAACCCCCGGACUGCUCUGGAAACUGUACGGCUGGAGUGCAGGAGAGGUAAGUGGAAUUCCUAGUGUAGCGGUGAAAUGCGUAGAUAUUAGGAGGAACACCAGUGGCGAAGGCGGCUUACUGGACUGUAACUGACGUUGAGGCUCGAAAGCGUGGGGAGCAAACAGGAUUAGAUACCCGGGUAGUC
rnacentral:rRNA from 1 species